GAUGAACGCUAGCGGUGUGCCUAAUGCAUGCAAGUCGAACGGGAAGCUUUGGAUUCGUCUGAAGCUGAGAGUGGCGAACGGGUGAGUAACACGUAGGUGACCUACCCCAGAGAGGGGGACAACCACUGGAAACGGUGGCUAAUACCCCAGAUGUUUCACAGAUUAGAAAAGUGAGACUAAAGCUCCGGCGCUCUGGGAGGGGCCUGCGGCCCAUCAGCUAGUUGGUAAGGUAAUGGCUUACCAAGGCGAAGACGGGUAGGGGGCGUGAGAGCGUGACCCCCCACACUGGUACUGAGACACGGACCAGAUACCUGCGGGUAGCAGCAGCAAGGAAUAUUGCCCAAUGGACGCAAGUCUGAGGCAGCAACACCGCGUGGAGGAUGAAAGCCUUCGGGUUGUAAACUCCUUUUCUGGGUGAAGAGAAAGGACGGUAACCCAGGAAUAAGUCUCGGCUAACUACGUGCCAGCAGCCGCGGUAAAACGUAGGAGGCGAGCGUUAUCCGGAAUUACUGGGCGUAAAGCGCAUGUAGGCGGCAUUUUAAGUCGGACGUGAAAGCUCCUGGCUCAACUGGGAGAGGCCGUUCGAAAC
rnacentral:rRNA from 1 species